rnacentral:rRNA from 1 species
GAUGACGGUGGUGCUUGCACCGCCUGAUUAGUGGCGAACGGGUGAGUAACACGUGAGUAACCUGCCCCUCACUUCGGGAUAACCUCGGGAAAUCGUGGCUAAUACCGGAUACGAACACUCAUCGCAUGGUGGGUGUUGGAAAGAUUUAUCGGUGGGGGAUGGACUCGCGGCCUAUCAGUUUGUUGGUGAGGUAAUGGCUCACCAAGGCGAUGACGGGUAGCCGGCCUGAGAGGGCGACCGGCCACACUGGGACUGAGACACGGCCCAGACUCCUACGGGAGGCAGCAGUGGGGAAUAUUGCACAAUGGGCGAAAGCCUGAUGCAGCGACGCCGCGUGAGGGAUGACGGCCUUCGGGUUGUAAACCUCUUUCAGUAGGGAAGAAGCGAGAGUGACGGUACCUGCAGAAGAAGCGCCGGCUAACUACGUGCCAGCAGCCGCGGUAAUACGUAGGGCGCAAGCGUUGUCCGGAAUUAUUGGGCGUAAAGAGCUUGUAGGUGGCUUGUCGCGUCUGCCGUGAAAACCCGAGGCUCAACCUCGGGCGUGCGGUGGGUACGGGCAGGCUAGAGUGUGGUAGGGGAGACUGGAACUCCUGGUGUAGCGGUGAAAUGCGCAGAUAUCAGGAAGAACACCGAUGGCGAAGGCAGGUCUCUGGGCCAUUACUGACACUGAGAAGCGAAAGCAUGGGUAGCGAACAGGAUUAGAUACCCUGGUAGUCCAUGCCGUAAACGUUGGGCACUAGGUGUGGGGGACAUUCCACGUUUUCCGCGCCGUAGCUAACGCAUUAAGUGCCCCGCCUGGGGAGUACGGCCGCAAGGCUAAAACUCAAAGGAAUUGACGGGGGCCCGCACAAGCGGCGGAGCAUGCUGAUUAAUUCGAUGCAACGCGAAGAACCUUACCAAGGCUUGACAUGCACUGGACGGCUGCAGAGAUGUGGCUU